rnacentral:rRNA from 1 species
CGUCUAUAUACGUAUAGCAUAUCAAUAAGCGGAGGAAAAGAAACUAACAAGGAUUCCCUUAGUAACGGCGAGUGAAGCGGGAAGAGCUCAAAUUUGAAAUCUUCAAGGUUUUACCUUGACGAAUUGUAGUUUAAAGAAGUGUUUUCUGUUGGAGUUUUGGUAAAAGUUCUUUGGAAUAGGACAUCAUAGAGGGCGAGAAUCCCGUAUUUGACCAUUAUUUCCAACUUUGUGAUACACUUUCAAAGAGUCGGAUUGUUUGGGAAUGCAGUCCAAAAUGGGUGGUAAAUUUCAUCUAAAGCUAAAUAUUGGCGAGAGACCGAUAGCGAACAAGUACCGUGAGGGAAAGAUGAAAAGAACUUUGAAAAGAGAGUUAAACAGUACGUGAAAUUGUCAAAAGGGAAGCGUUUGACACCAGUGUUGUUUUUCCGAAAAUCAAUUAUGAAUGGCUUUAUUUUGAGGAGUUCAUGACCUUAAUAGCUUGUUGCUUAUUUUCUAUGGAACUUUCUUAAUGCACUUUUCGGUUAACAAGUCAACAUCAAUUUCUUUUGUUGUAAAAGAGUUAUGAGGAAGGUGGCUUUACUUUCGGAGUAAAGUGUUUAUAGCCUUUUAGCUCUGCAAUCGGAGAGAUUGAGGAUCUGCAGCGUAGAUCCUCGGGGUUAGAUAGCAUUUGUGCUAAGUUAUAGCAAGUUUCAUAGACAACUUGUUGACUAAUGCUUAGUCUUGUAGACUUACUCGCAGUACGCUAUUUUACCUACGCUUAGGAUGUUGACACACGCGCGUGCUCG